rnacentral:rRNA from 1 species
CCUACGGGAGGCAGCAGUGAGGAAUAUUGGUCAAUGGGCUUACGCCUGAACCAGCCAAGUCGCGUGAGGGAAGACUGCCCUAUGGGUUGUAAACUUCUUUUAUAUGGGAAUAAAACAGGGUAUGCAUACCCUCUUGUAUGUACCAUAUGAAUAAGGAUCGGCUAACUCCGUGCCAGCAGCCGCGGUAAUACGGAGGAUCCGAGCGUUAUCCGGAUUUAUUGGGUUUAAAGGGAGCGUAGGUGGAUUGUUAAGUCAGUUGUGAAAGUUUGCGGCUCAACCGUAAAAUUGCAGUUGAAACUGGCAGUCUUGAGUACAGUAGAGGUGGGCGGAAGUCGUGGUGUAGCGGUGAAAUGCUUAGAUAUCACGAAGAACUCCGAUUGCGAAGGCAGCUCACUGGACUGCAACUGACACUGAUGCUCGAAAGUGUGGGUAUCAAACAGGAUUAGAUACCCUGGUAGUC